rnacentral:rRNA from 1 species
ACGCAGCGAAAUGCGAUAAGUAAUGUGAAUUGCAGAAUUCAGUGAAUCAUCGAAUCUUUGAACGCACCUUGCGCCCUUUGGCUAUUCCGAAGGGCAUGCCUGUUUGAGUAUCGUGAACACCUCAACUCUCAUGGUUUACCAUGAUGAGAUUGGACUCUGGAGGUUUUGCYGGCCCUCAGUCGGCUCCUCUCAAAUGAAUUAGCUUACCGGUAUAUGGUGGCGCCACAGGUGUGAUAACUAUCUGCUCUUGUGGUUGCACGCCAGAUAACCUUCAGCACUGGAGGUUUGCUGGGGCUCAUAAACGUCUCUCCUCGCGAAGACAACCUUUUGAAYGUUUGAUCUCAAAUCAGGUAGGACU